rnacentral:rRNA from 1 species
CGCGUAUAGAAUCUGCCUUGUACAGGAGGAUAGCCUUUAGAAAUGAAGAUUAAUACUCCAUAAUACUGAGAUGUGGCAUCACAAUUUAGUUAAACAUUUAUGGGUACAAGAUGACUAUGCGUCCUAUUAGCUAGAUGGUAAGGUAACGGCUUACCAUGGCAACGAUAGGUAGGGGGUCUGAGAGGAUUAUCCCCCACCACUGGUACGUGAGACACGGACCGACGACUCCUACCGGGAGGGCAGCAGUGAGGGAAGUAAUUGGGUUCGAAUAGGAGGGCGAACUACUGAACCAACGCCACU